rnacentral:rRNA from 1 species
UGGGGAAUUUUGGACAAUGGGCGCAAGCUUGAUCCAGCAAUGCCGCGUGCAGGGUGAAGGCCUUCGGGUUGUAAACUGCUUUUGUACGGAACGAAACGGCUCUGUCUAAUACAUGGGGCUAAUGACGGUACCGUAAGAAUAAGCACCGGCUAACUACGUGCCAGCAGCCGCGGUAAUACGUAGGGUGCGAGCGUUAAUCGGAAUUACUGGGCGUAAAGCGUGCGCAGGCGGUUUUGUAAGACAGAGGUGAAAUCCCCGGGCUCAACCUGGGAACUGCCUUUGUGACUGCAAGGCUGGAGUGCGGCAGAGGGGGAUGGAAUUCCGCGUGUAGCAGUGAAAUGCGUAGAUAUGCGGAGGAACACCGAUGGCGAAGGCAAUCCCCUGGGCCUGCACUGACGCUCAUGCACGAAAGCGUGGGGAGCAAACA